rnacentral:rRNA from 1 species
UUAAUUCGAUACAAAGUGAAGAACCUUACCAAGGUUUGAUAUUUUGCGAAUUCUCUUGAAAGAGAAGGGUGCCUUCGGGGAUCAAGACAUAGGUGGUGCAUGACUGUCGUGAGGUCGUGUUGUAAAGUUGGGUUAAGUUCCACAACUAGCGUAACCCUCAUGUUUAGUUGCAUUCACUGAGUUUUGACCCCCAAACAAGCUGCCGGUGAUAAGUAGGAGGAAGGUGAUGAUUUAUCUUAUGAUUCAAAUUACUAGAUUU